rnacentral:rRNA from 1 species
AAACGACUCUCGGCAACGGAUAUCUAGGCUCUCGCAUCGAUGAAGAACGUAGCAAAAUGCGAUACUUGGUGUGAAUUGCAGAAUCCCGUGAACCAUCGAGUUUUUGAACGCAGGUUGCGCCCGAAGCCAUUAGGCCGAGGGCACGCCUGCCUGGGCGUCUCA